GACAGAGGGUGCUAGCGUUGUUCGGAAUUACUGGGCGUAAAGGGCGCGUAGGCGGCUCGUUUAGUCGGGUGUGAAAUCCCAAGGCUCAACCUUGGAACUGCAUUCGAUACUGGCGGGCUAGAGACCGGAAGAGGUGGGUGGAAUACCCAGUGUAGAGGUGAAAUUCGUAGAUAUUGGGAAGAACACCGGUGGCGAAGGCGGCUCACUGGCUCAUUACUGACGCUCAGGCGCGAUAGCGUGGGGAUCAAACAGG
rnacentral:rRNA from 1 species